CCAAUAGCGUAUAUUAAAGUUGUUGCAGUUAAAAAGCUCGUAGUUGAAUUUCGGGAUUGACACAUCGGUCGUGCUCUAAGGGGUAUGAACUGGUGUAGUCAAUUUCUCACCUUCUGGAGAACCGCGAUGCCCUUUAUUGGGUGCCGUGGGAAACCAGGACCUUUACUUCGAAAAAAUUAGAGUGUUUAAAGCAGGCAUUUUUGCUUGAAUACAUUAGCAUGGAAUAAUAAAAUAGGACGGCAUGGUUCUAUUUUGUUGGUUUCUAGGACCAACGUAAUGAUUAAUAGGGAUAGUUGGGGGCAUUAGUAUUCAAUUGUAAGAGGUGAAAUUCUUGGAUUUAUUGAAGACUAACUACUGCGAAAGCAUUUGCCAAGGAUGUUUUCAUUAAUCAAGAACGAAAGUUAGGGGAUCGAAGACGAUCAGAUACCGUCGUAGUCUUAACCAUAAACUAUGCCGACUAGGAAUCAGACGAUGUUAAUUUUUUAAUGACUCGUUUGGCACCUUACG
rnacentral:rRNA from 1 species